rnacentral:lncRNA from 1 species
GGGGGAUUCCCCUUCAUUUGCGACUUGGAGCAACCAGCUGGUUGAAGGAGGAAGCAGCAGAAGGUGUAGAUCCCUCUGCUCUUGGGAACUCGCAACUCAUGGAGGAAGUUCCAGAUCAUUCCAUAACUCCAGAAUGCUGAGUGGAAUUGGCACAGAGGUGAAACUGAUGAAACACUGAGGUUGUCUUUGCUCGUCCUACAGAACAAGUAGAGACAUGAAAAUUCUUCUGCUGAACAAGGAAUUAGAACUCCUGGUCCUGGCAUUUUCCUGAGUGCUGGAGGCUUCCCAGAAGCUGCCCCCAAUGCCUUCUGCACUGCCUGGAGCCAGUGCUUCCAGCUGUCAGCUCUGGAGCUGAUGUAGCAGCCCGACAUUUGAGCAGCUGCAGCACCAGGAAAGUUGACUUGCAGAGGGAAAGGACACCCAGGCUUCUGGCAGAACAGCCAGGUGGCCUCACAGGAGGUGGGCAUAAGUUUUUAGCUCUGCAGCUUAGGAGUAGAGUUUUGCCAGGGCAAC